UUAUAUUAAAUAUUUAAUAUCUAAAUUUUGUUAAUUAUUAAAUUUAUAGAAAUAACUUUUAUUUUAGUAUUUUUUAAAGAAUAAAUUUUUUAAAUAUUUAUAUUAAAUUUUAUACUGUAAAGGUUUAUUAUAAUUUAUAAUAUAAGUAAAAAUUAAUUUUUGUACCUUUUGUAUCAGGGUUUAUCAAUAUUUUUUUAUAUAUUUAUUAAAUUUCCCGAAAUUAAAAGAGAUAUUAAUAAUUGUUAUUUAAUGUGACAAAAUUAUUAAUUAAUUAUUAAUAGAAGUUAUAUGCUAUUCAUUUUUAAUUAUCUGGUUUCUUAAUAUUUGAAUUUAAUUCAGAAUUAAUAUAUUUUAAUAUAAAAAAUUAAUUUUUUAUUAAAAUAUUAAUUUAAGAUUAAAGGGGAUAAGCUCUUUAAUUUAUUUAUAAUUUAUAUUUUAUGUAGAAUUUGGUAGGAUUAGAAAUUUUCAUCAUUUAUUUUGUUAUAAUAAUGUUUAUUAUAAUUUUAAUUUAUUUAUAAUUUAAAUUUGUAUUAAGAAUUAUUAAUUAAUAUUUAAUUAAUAGUUAUAAUGAUAAAAUUAGUAAAAUAUAUUAAUUAAUAUAUAGUAACUUGGCAAAUUUAUUCUUCACCUGUUUAACAAAAACAUGUCCUGAUGCUAAUAAUUUAUAUUAGGUCUGUCCUGCUCAAUGAUUAUUAAUUUUAAAUAGCCGCAGUAUUUUGACUGUGCGAAGGUAGCAUAAUCAAUUGUCUUUUAAUUGAAGGCUUGUAUGAAUGGUUUGAUGAGAGAAUAACUUUCUUUAUAUUAAAUGUUUAAACUUAAUUUUUUAGUUAAAAAGCUAAAAUAUUUAAAUGGGACGAGAAGACCCUAUAGAAUUUUAUUUUUAUUUAAAAUUAUAAGUUUUUGGAUUAUAAAAUUUAUUAUUUUAAAUACAAAUUUUGUUGGGGUGACCUUGAGAUUUAUAUAACUCUCAAAUUUUAUAUUUUAUUAAUAUAUAUAUAUAUGAUCCUAUUUUAAGGAUAUGUAGAUUAAAUUACCUUAGGGAUAACAGCGUAAUUUUUUUGGAGAGUUCUUAUUGAUGAAAAAGUUUGCGACCUCGAUGUUGGAUUAAAAUUAGAUUUAAGUGCAGAAGCUUAAUUUCUAGGUCUGUUCGACCUUUAAACUUUUACAUGAUCUGAGUUCAGACCGGCGUGAGCCAGGUCGGUUUCUAUCUUUUUAUUACCAAUAUCAUAAAUUAGUACGAAAGGACCAUUUAUGUCAAAUAAUUUUGUUUUUAUUAUGAAUAUAUUUAACUAUUUUGACAGAUUAAUGUGGUAAAUUUAGAAUUUACA
rnacentral:rRNA from 1 species